GGGGAUAUAGCUCAGUUGGUAAAGUGUCUGCCUUGCAUGCACAAGGCCCUGGGUUCAAUGCCCAGCACCACUA
rnacentral:tRNA from 1 species